GCGGGCGUGGCGCAAUGGUAGCGCAUCUGCUUCCCAAGCAGAGGGGUGCCGGUUCGAGUCCGGUCGCCCGCUCCA
rnacentral:tRNA from 1 species